UACGUAGGGGGCUAGCGUUGUCCGGAAUCAUUGGGCGUAAAGAGCGUGUAGGCGGUCCGGUAAGUCCGUUGUGAAAGUCAGGGGCUCAACCCUUGAAUGCCGGCGGAUACUGUCGGGCUAGAGUCCGGAAGAGGCGAGUGGAAUUCCCGGUGUAGCGGUGAAAUGCGCAGAUAUCGGGAGGAACACCUAUGGCGAAGGCAGCUCGCUGGGACGGUACUGACGCUGAGGAGCGAAAGCGUGGGGAGCAAACAGG
rnacentral:rRNA from 1 species